GGCGCCAUAGCCAAGCGGUAAGGCACAGGUCUGCAACACCUUUACCAUCGGUUCAAAUCCGAUUGGCGCCUCCA
rnacentral:tRNA from 1 species